UGGGGAAUAUUGCACAAUGGAGGGAACUCUGAUGCAGCGACGCCGCGUGAACGAAGAAGGCUUUCGAGUCGUAAAGUUCUUUUAUAUGGGAAGAUAAUGACGGUACCAUAAGAAAAAGCCCCGGCUAACUACGUGCCAGCAGCCGCGGUAAUACGUAGGGGGCUAGCGUUGUCCGGAAUCACUGGGCGUAAAGGGUUCGCAGGCGGAAAUGCAAGUCAGGUGUAAAAGGCAGUAGCUUAACUACUGUAAGCAUUUGAAACUGCAUAUCUUGAGAAGAGUAGAGGUAAGUGGAAUUUGUAGUGUAGCGGUGAAAUGCGUAGAUAUUAAAAAGAAUACCGGUGGCGAAGGCGACUGACUGGGCUCAUUCUGACGCUGAGGAACGAAAGCGUGGGUAGCAAACAGG
rnacentral:rRNA from 1 species